AGACAUGGAAUUGGAUUCUGGGAGUUGAUAAUGAAUUCUACUUUCCAGUCAAAGCACCAUUUCUUGUGGAUUUAAAGAAACCGGAGUUAAAGAUUCCUCACACAGUGAACUUCUACAUCAAAGUUGAACCUAGGGUGAUUCUGGGAAUCUGGGCAGCUCCUCAUAGACCUGAGCUAGUAAAGUGUUAAAUUCCUAUCUUCUCCCCUUCUUAUCAUGCACGGUGAGGAUGACAAAACGGUGCCUUUCGAAUUUGGAAAAAAG